UGCAGCUGAAACCAACUUCUGCCACCAAAAGUCCUUGGCUCCAGUGCCCUGAUCACACCAGCACAGGGACUAAGGCAGCUCAAGUGACACCA